GCUCUGCAGGUGAGCUGGAGGCUAGAGGAUAGGGCAGGCAGUGAGGCCUAGUGUUUGUGCAGGGGAUGAUGUCAGCAGUGACAUCAUCGGGUUGGAUUGUCAUAAUGGGUGUCACCUGAGCACAUUGAUUGACGGCGCUAUAAAGGUGGAGGACAUCGACUGUUGGGGGGAAAUGGUGGAACAUGUGUAGCUGAGGGCUGAUGUCAGAUGAGGAUUCCCUCGGUUGUGACAUCCUCACAGGCAGUUUCAGAAGAAUGGUCUUCGUACUGGAAGCAACUUUCAACUCCUCCAUAUAGAAUCCAGUGAAACAUCGCCAUCUUGUGACCAAACGUCAGACUUGAAAAAAGACAUAUUUGUCACUUUUACGUGGUGAUUGCAGAAUGUUUCAAACGGCUGAUAUUGCAGUGACCGUAUAGGAUUUGGUCAACAAAAUUCAUCAGUGUAGCAGUUUCUGGUCACUGUUUCAUAGCUUUUCCAAUAAAGCUUAAUGUUGCACAUACCCCUCCGCCUGCACCUUGUUUGGAGUGGCUGCUUGUGGUCUACAAAUCCAUUUUGGGAAUGCCCCCCCCCCGGCUACCUUUUCAAAUAUUCUGCACAUUUCCGACGGCAAACGCCAUUUAAGAUCCAGUGACUUCAGUCGGCUCAUCAUUCCAAAAGUCUGUCCUGUUUGGUCAUAACUCCUUUCAUUUUGCCGGUGCAAAUGAUUGGAACUCCGUACAAAACACGCUCAAACUAUCAGCACUCACCUCUCUCAACAUAAACUGCGACGAACCAUCGUUGACUCCUGUACUUGCUGACCUUCUUCUCGCUUGCAUUUUUUACAAAGUACUUCCAGUAGUCUUUUUGUACAUAGUGUUUAUUAAUUUAACUGUUGUUUUUAGCCAUGUGUUAUACUGUUUCAUACUGUAUUGGGUUUGUGUCACUUGUGUGGACUGUGCUACUGCCUCUUGGCCAGGUCAUCCUUGUAAAUGAGAAUUGGUUCCCAAUGGAUUUUACCUGGUUAAAUAAAGGUCAAAUAAAUAAAAA